GCAAAUGCGCCAAAGUGUCCAGCCCCACCCUCGCGACCUCUAACCUCUCCUCGGACGGGAAGACCGGCGCGUUCCACGCAUGCUCAGUACGUCCGCGCAGAUUUCUGAAGCUCGAAUCCCGCGUGCGUUGUGUACGGUAAAAGCUAAAUUCAGACUCGCUUUUUGCUCAGCAACCAAAGGGCCACCAUGCUUUAUGAUUUAUAGCAACCCCAUUAUCCCACAAGUGACACUGCAUUCCGCCUCCAGGGUCUAUGAUAAGAUCAUGGACGCAAGAGUUGCACAGCACCCUGCCUGGGAAUACCAGUCUUGCAGGCUCCCUUCCAGUUGGACCGUCUGGUGUGCCUGGCUUUCCAGAGUGUGCGCCCAGCUCCCGGCUCCAUCCUCUGUGACAGCACCACAGCCCCAUCACUGUGGGCUCGCACAGGCUCCUCAACAGCUAACAGAAGCUCAACCUCAAGAAAAUGGAAUCCCAUAUUCCAACCUGGACAUUUAGUACUGGUAAAGUCUCUUCCCUCAUCAUCUCCUCCGCUAGGACCAAUUUGGGAAGGAUCAUGCACUGUGAUCCUGUCAACACCAUCAGCUGUCAAGGUAGCAGGCCUGGACCCCUGGAUACACCACACUUGACACAAGCCCUGGGAAGCAGAAACUAUUGUGCUGCUAAGAUCAUUCUUCAUCAAGCUUGCUGAUACAUUUGGGCAAGAGUUUCUCUAGAAGGAGGUUGCUGGACUAGAGGAUAGAACCUUGACGGAUCCUCUGCAUCCAAGCCACAAAUGAGGGAAGAGAGACACACGGAGAAACCGAAGGAGAAUAUCACUUCUCUCCACACAUCACUGGUCAAGGCCAGCUACAGGACCCCACCAAGACAGCAGAAGCCAGGAAAAUGUCUGGCUAUAUGAGCAGGUAGAAGACAGCCUAAUACCAAGCACUGGCAGCCUUGGUUAUACAAGUUCCAUACAAGAACAAGAUGUAUUUUUAACAACAAACAUAUCAAAGCAAACACUGACCCCACCCUUCUACCCUUCUGCCACAUUAUGAUGUACCACAAGGACCCUCAGAAGCCAAGCAAAUGCCAGCACCGGGCCCUGGGACUUCCCCAUCUCCAGAGCCAUGAGACAAAAUGAACUUCUUUCCUAUAGGAUUUGCCCAGUGACUGAAACAGCUACUUUGUCCCUGUCCUCACCAUCUGGUGUCAGUGGGUUUUGCUCCAAUUAGAUUACUUGGGACUCCCAAGUGUCUUCCUUGUUGGGAAGGAACCACUCACUACCACCACCAUUCUCCUUACAGGUGAUAAUUUGAGUUGUUUUCCUUGAAUGGCCCUCCUUCCUCCUUCUAGCCAAUGUGGGGUUGCUUUUGAG
ensembl:lncRNA